rnacentral:lncRNA from 1 species
UUUAACUUGUUCUUUUAUGAACAUAUAUUAUUCUGAUCUGAAUCCUCAUUAUUACAAAAUUAAGAAAUCACUACAAUCAACUAGGCUUCAUAUUCUAGUCUACUUAUUUAUUUUUAUUAAAUAUCAUUUUAACAAUUUCUCAUUCAGCAUAAACUCUGAUUAUUAAGGACAUUUAUAAAUGCAGCGACAUUUUUCCUGUUUUCUGGGCCCAAUAAAAGUACCAACCCCGUUGGCAUUUUUUCUCUUGCACAAAUAGACACAACUUGAACCGGAACAUGGAGCACUAUCUAAAAUAACACCUGUAGGAGUACUAUAUUCCUUGGUAUUUAGAAUUUUGUACAAUUUUUGUUUCCAUAU